GGUGGGGAUGACGUCAAGUCGGCAUGGCCCUUACGCCUGGGGCUACACACAUGCUACAAUGGCCGGUAACAGAGGGCAGCAAUACCGCGAGGUGGAGCAAAUCCCAAAAAUCCGGCCUCAGUUCGGAUUGCAGUCUGCAACUCGACUGCAUGAAGGCGGAAUCGCUAGUAACCGCAGGUCAGCUAUACUGCGGUGAAUACGUUCCCGGGCCUUGUACACACCGCCCGUCAAGUGAUCUGAGUCGGUUGCACCCGAAGUCGAUGGCCCAACCCGCAAGGGAGGGAGUCGCCGAAGGUGUGGCCGGUAAGGAGCGCU
rnacentral:rRNA from 1 species